rnacentral:rRNA from 1 species
UGGGGAAUAUUGCACAAUGGGCGAAAGCCUGAUGCAGCAACGCCGCGUGAGUGAUGAAGGUCUUCGGAUUGUAAAGCUCUGUCUUUUGGGACGAUAAUGACGGUACCAAAGGAGGAAGCCACGGCUAACUACGUGCCAGCAGCCGCGGUAAUACGUAGGUGGCGAGCGUUGUCCGGAUUUACUGGGCGUAAAGGGUGCGUAGGCGGAUGUUUAAGUGAGAUGUGAAAUACCCGGGCUUAACUUGGGUGCUGCAUUUCAAACUGGAUAUCUAGAGUGCAGGAGAGGAGAAUGGAAUUCCUAGUGUAGCGGUGAAAUGCGUAGAGAUUAGGAAGAACACCAGUGGCGAAGGCGAUUCUCUGGACUGUAACUGACGCUGAGGCACGAAAGCGUGGGUAGCAAACAGGAUUAGAUACCCUGGUAGUCCACGCCGUAAAACGAUGAGUACUAGGUGUAGGAGGUAUCGACCCCUUCUGUGCCGCAGUAAACACAUUAAGUACUCCGCCUGGGAAGUACGAUCGCAAGAUUAAAACUCU